GAUGAAGAACGUAGCGAAAUGCGAUAAGUAGUGUGAAUUGCAGAAUUCAGUGAAUCAUCGAAUCUUUGAACGCACAUUGCGCCCUUUGGUAUUCCUUAGGGCAUGCCUGUUCGAGCGUCAUUUAAACCUUCAAGCUCAGCUUGGUGUUGGGUGACUGUCCGCCGCCCCCGGGCGCGUGGACUCGCCUCAAAAUUAUUGGCGGCCGGUACAUUGGCUUCGAGCGCAGCAGAAACGCGAACUCGAGCCCGUCGUAUUGGCUCCCAGAAGCUAUCUUCACAAUUUUGACCUCGGAUCAGGUAGGGAUACCCGCUGAACUUAAGCAUAUCAAUAAGCGGAGGA
rnacentral:misc_RNA from 1 species